UUUAGAUAAAAUAGAACAGUUGUGUUUGGAGUAGCGAUCCAAGUCUUUUGUGUCAGGUGUUAUCAGUUACCCAGUGAGUUGAAGUCGAGUCAUAAUAAGCAAGGAUUUCAACGUCACCGAGGAAUGCUGCUGGAAAUCAUCACUCAUCGGAUAAGGUGACUCUCCAACGAGAUAGCCUACGUUUCAGAACUUGGCAGACGGAAAUGCGGGUAGUGAUUCGGAGAAAGCUGUGCCAGGAGUUUCAGAUAAGUCAACAGACUAUACCGCACCAUCUUCAGAAUCACUUUCAAUAAGCAAUUUAAGUGAUUUCGAAGAAAACCAUAUAUAUGGAAAAGAAAAAGGCUGUAAAUCAAUUAAAAAAAAAGCUUCUAAACAAACGCGAACCAGAAAAGAAACGACGAAA